UACACACGUGCUACAAUGGGCGGUACAAAGGGCUGCGAAACCCGCGAGGGGGGAGCGAAUCCCAAAAAGCCGCUCUCAGUUCGGAUUGCAGGCUGCAACUCGCCUGCAUGAAGCCGGAAUCGCUAGUAAUCGCGGAUCAGCAUGCCGCGGUGAAUACGUUCCCGGGCCUU
rnacentral:rRNA from 1 species